NNNNCAACGGGGGCCAUCUUUACCUGUUUCUCUCUCCAGAGGGCAGAUGGGCAUGAUGAUUGGAGUUCUUGUGAGUCUUGAUUAAUGUCUCUGCACGGUUUGGGUGACACCCUAAUUGCUCCUGUCUGAU
ensembl:snoRNA U8 U8 small nucleolar RNA